UAAAAGACCUAAUUUUUAGUAACACCUGCUCAAUGAAUUCUAAAUAGCCGCAGUCCCCUGUGCUAAGGUAGCAUAAUCAUUUGCCUAAUAAUUAUAGGAUAGAAUGAAAGGUGAAACAUGUUAUCUUCUUUAUUAAAAGGGCUAAAUUAAUUUAUCCUUUAAGUAAAAACUCUUAAAUUAUUAGGGGGACGACAAGACCCUGUCGAACUUCACAUUUAUGUUUAGCUGGGGCGGCAAGUAAAUAAAACCUUUACAUCUUUUUAACAUAACAACCUAAAAUAAGAUCUUAACAAGUUACCGCAGGGAUAACAGCAUAAUUUUUUCCUAAAGAUCUUAUAAAAGAAAAAGUUUGUGACCUCGAUGUUGAAUUAAAAUUCUUUUAGAAGCAGAAUUCUAAAUAGAAAGUCUGUUCGACUUUUAAAUAUUU
rnacentral:rRNA from 1 species